UUUUUUUUAAAACAAUAAAACUUUUAUUUUAUUAAGUCAAGUUUGCAGUUUAUAUUUACAACAAAAACUUGCAGUUUAUAUUUGCUGGAAAAACAAGCAUUUCAUAUUUAUUUAAAAAAAAAAACUAUAAAAAAAAUAACAUUUUUUUUGUCAAAGUUUAGAAUGACUCACAAACAGGUUUCCAUAUGAAGACCACAUAUAACAGAUGUUCAUAUGAAGACCA